GGAGUCUCGCUCUGUUGCCCAGGCAGGAGUGCAGUGGCGUGAUCUCUGCUCACUGCAAGCUCCACCUCCCGAGUUCACGCCAUUCUUCUGCCUCAGCCUCCUGAGUAACUGAGACUACAGGCGCGCACCACCACAUUUGGAUAAUUUUUUUGUAUUUUUAGUAGAGAUGAGGUUACACCUUGUUAACCAGGAUGGUCUCGACCUCCUGACCUUGUGAUCCACCCACCUUGGCCUCCCAAAGUGCUGGGAUUAUAGUCGUGAACCACUGUGCCCGGUCUCUUCUCUGCUUUUUGAGGCAUUAAGAAAGGUUCUCGGGAAAUGUGUCUAAGAUAAUUUUGAGAAACUGCAUGAAACCAGUGUCUCUCCAGGAUCUUUGUGCUUUCCUCAUGUGCCCUUUCUUGAUGGUCUUGACAGGACGAGGUGGGGCCCACCCAUGAGCUGGUCCAGACUUUCUUCUCCACUCACUCCACCAAGAUGGCUUCAAGUCGAGUGAUGCUAUUUUCUGGUUCCAAGCCACUUGGGUCAGAGAAUAUAGAUAAUCAUGGUGUCAGAGAUGGCUUUGGAUUCCCAGUUCUGUGUGCUCCUGUCUGGCUCCUGAACCCAGCUGGAGAGCUUUGGAGUUUAACCCUUCUGCCAAUCCAGAGGCAAGCACAAUAUUCCAGAGGAACUGUCAAACAGAUGGUGAGACAACAUUGUCUGUAGCUCUGUGUAGUAUCCUAUGGGACUUUGCUGAGGCUUCUUUGGACCAUUCUCUUCCUUUUCUCAAUAAAAACUCAAAUAUCCCAACUUUCCAGUACCCAUCUUAUUUUUUCUUUGUACCUAUCCAGAUGGUACCUAAGUGAAGGAACCAGGUAAGUGCCUAAUUGUUUCCUUUGUUAAAGUAGCUAAAUCUCAGGACAGUUCAUAUUCAGAUAUUCGGGGAUUUCUUAUUUAAAAUCAGAAUAGAGGUUGCCAUGGGAGAGGCAGUAUGGUAUUCUUAAUGGGCUGCUGUAAGUCACCUUGAUAGAGGCUGCUGAGUUUCUUCUAACUGUAAUUUGAACACAGAAGUGGGGGGAAAGAGGGUGUUUAAAAUAAUUGUGAAAGGUGCAAAAUGUCACGACCAGGGAGGCAGAGAAAUGGCUGUGUGUGUGUGGGGGCGGGUAGGGUUUGUCAAAGAAGUUUGCCCAUGAGGCUCUGAUGACUUUAAAAUUCUUACUUUAACACAAAAUGUGUCUCCAGAUUUAUUCUGGUGACUUAACAGAUUUUAUUUACCUCCUUGUUCUAAAAGAUAGGUGAGGUUCAUGGUCAAAACUUUCAAAAGACAUGAAACAUCAAUGUAGACUUUUAAUGUGUAAUAUAAAAAUUGCAGGUUAAAAUCUCUGACCUUCCCUGUAAAGAGUGAUUGUUGCCAUGGCUUCCCCUUUGUCCUUUCCCCUCCUGACAAUAGCAUCUUGUUCAAAGAUAAGAAAAUUGGAGUUUUGCCCAGGCAUGGUGGCUUACGCCUGUAAUACCACCAUUUUGGGAGGCCGAGGCAGGUGGAUCACCUGAGGUCAGGAGUUCGAGACCAGCCUGGCCAACAUGCUGAAACCCUGUCUCUACUAAAAAUACAAAAAUUAGCCAGGUGUGGUGGUGCGCACCUGUAACCCAGCUACUAAAGAGGCUGAGGCAGGAGAAUUGCUUGAACCCGGGAGGCAGAGGUUGCAGUGAGCAGAGAUCACGCCAAUGCACUCCAGCCUGGGUGACAGAGCAAGACCCCAUCUCACAAAAAAAAAAAAAAAAAAAAAAAGAAAAAAAGAAAGUUGGAGUUUUUCAGUCUCUAUCCUUAUGGGAGAGGCAGGGGAUGGGUGGUGGUAGAAAAGAGAAAACAAUUAGUUGAUUUGCCUCUAAAAUUUUGCAAAGAGAUGAAUCUAAGUAAAAGUAAUUCUGGGUAGUAAUAUAGUUCUUGAAUAAAAACUAAAAUUUUCUUGGAAAACAUUACAUCACAACGAAAUUAAAUCCAGUUGGCUUAUUGGUUUCAUUUAAAUGCCAGAGAUUUCAUUCCUGUAGAGGAACAUUCCUGUAGAGGAAAUGUCUUGUAGCUCUUCUAUUUAAACUUUGGUUGGGCUUUUAAGUUUUUAAAAAGUAGGAUAAUUAAGACUCAUGAUGAGUGUGA
rnacentral:lncRNA from 10 species